UACGUAGGGUGCAAGCGUUAAUCGGAAUACUGGGCGUAAAGCGUGCGCAGGCGGUUAUGCAAGACAGAGGUGAAAUCCCCGGGCUCAACCUGGGAACUGCCUUUGUGACUGCAUAGCUAGAGUACGGUAGAGGGGGAUGGAAUUCCGCGUGUAGCAGUGAAAUGCGUAGAUAUGCGGAGGAACACCGAUGGCGAAGGCAAUCCCCUGGACCUGUACUGACGCUCAUGCACGAAAGCGUGGGGAGCAAACAGG
rnacentral:rRNA from 1 species